rnacentral:rRNA from 1 species
GAAGUCGGAAUUGCUAGUAAUCGCGGAUCAGCAUGCCGCGGUGAAUACGUUCCCGGGCCUUGUACACACCGCCCGUCACACCAUGGGAGUCGGUAACACCCGAAGCCUGUAGUCUAACCGCAAGGGGGACGCAGUCGAAGGUGGGAUUGAUGACUGGGGUGAAGUCGUAACAAGGUACC